rnacentral:rRNA from 1 species
AUUGAACGCUGGCGGCAUGCCUAACACAUGCAAGUCGAGCGAGCGGCGGACGGGUGAGUAAUGUAUGGGGAUCUGCCCGAUGGAUGGGGAUAACUACUGGAAACGGUGGCUAAUACCGCAUACGCUCUGCUGAUCCCAGAUGGGAUUCGCUAGUAGGUGGGGUAAAGGCUUACCUAGGCGACGAUCUAUAGCUGGUCUGAGAGGAUGAUCAGCCACACUGGGACUGAGACACGGCCCAGACUCCUACGGGAGGCAGCAGUGGGGAAUAUUGCACAAUGGGCGCAAGCCUGACGCAGCAAUGCCGCGUGUAUGAAGAAGGCCUUCGGGUUGUAAAGCACUGUCAGCGGGGAGGCGUUACCCGCAGAAGAAGCAACGGCUAACUCCGUGCCAGCAGCCGCGGUAAUAC